UUUUCAUCUGAGUACUUGGCAACAAUGUUUCCGCGUGUUAUCAAAACAUGGAGCCUGGAGGUAGUACGAGAAUGUUCAGCAGCUCUGUCUGAAACCCAACGCAUGGCAUUUUUGAGCAAAGGCCAAUCAUUGAGGACAGGUCUAUAAGCAACACCAUAAAUGAUACGAAAAGAAAGGCCUGGGAUGAAAUUACUGCUUCAUUCAAUGCCAGCUACCCAGACCAAAUCCCUCGCUCAGUCAAGCAGCUCAAGAGAAGUUACGAACACAAAAAACGGAAAACUAAAAGCAGAGAUAUACAGCAAAGAAAAAUGCUAACAAGGACAGGUGGUGGUCAAUUAGACAAAAUAUCGGAAGUUUCAGAAGAAAUCGCCUUAACAGCAUCAAUGACGAGGGCUGAAUUGUCAAUGGCUGAUGACAUUUAUGAGACCUUCUGCAUUCAACUAGUAGAUGAAGCAAAAUAAUACCCUAUUAAAUGUGCAGCUAGUAUUUGCCGAGGUGCUCGUGGCAUGCAGAAGACUUCUGCAAGUGUACCUUCUGCUUCACUUACUCAGUCCUAUGAUCCACUUGUUUUACCUGGUCCAACCCCAGGGCCAUCAUCUGUGUCUUCUGCACAAUUUACUGCCAAGGAGCACACCAAGGCGAACUAGGGGGGUGACAAGUGUGUAUGAAAUGUGUGAUAAAAGACAAGAAGAGUUACAUAAAUAUAAUUUGUACAGAUUGAAAAGGGAGCAUGUUGAGGAAAUGAAACUGAAAAAAGAAAUGUCAACACAAAAACUACAACAAAAAUUAAGUGAAACUGCAAUUGCAUCGAUUGAAAAGACAUGAAAAAUUGACUAAUUCUUUGGAUUUGUUAGAUAGUGUUUUAAGGAAAGCAGGAGCUUCAUAUGAUGCCAUGGCUAAAACAUAUGAAUGAUGAUGUAAUAUUUCAGAAAUUGGCAUCUAAAGUAAAAGUUAAUCUUUCUAUUUCUUACAUAUUCAACUAAUUUUAUUUGAAGGAAAUAAACAUACAUGUGUUUAUUUUGACAAAGGUUUUUUUGUUUACAAAAGCUGUCAUAAGUAUGGCAGGUAAUUAUUUGUGGUUGGUGAAUAUUUAUAAUAUACAUGAAGGCUAUGAUUUUCAAAAAUUGAAUUUAUUUUCUGUGAUAAAGAAUAAAGUUUUGUUUGGUGUAUACAGGUAUUUAUAAAAUAUGUUAUUCUGUGCAAAGUACUGUAUAGAGGAUAUGUUUCUUUUAUUAAAUUUUAUGCAUUGAUAUAAAUA